rnacentral:lncRNA from 1 species
CGCCCGCGGGCUCCGAGCGGUGCCGCCGCCGCUAGAGCUGCGACUCACGGCACCUUUGUCUCCACCGGCCUCCGAGAAGUUUGUGGUCAGAAGCAGGAUGGGCUGGCUCAUCGGUGGCUCCAGCACAGGGAAGCGGCUAGCUGUGAUGAUGGCGCCGCUGUGGCCAGCGGCCACUGCGCCCCGAGGCCGUUCGCUCGGGCACUCGCCCCCACUUCCUCCCGCUGGGUCUCCCGGCUCCCACCGAGCUGCAGAGCAGCAAGCUCCUGCCUCAUGGGAGAGAGCAAGAGGACUCCACAAAGUUCAUCGUGCUCACGUUCCUGUCCCUGGCUUGCAUCGUGGGGGUCCUUCUGGCUUCCAGCCUGAUCUACUGCCUCCGCCACAGCUCCCACCACAAGCUAAAGAAGAAGCUGUCGGGCCUGGGGGGUGACACCAGUGCAGACGCCACUGCUGCCUACCAG